rnacentral:lncRNA from 1 species
CAAAGUAAUAACUGUUACAGUUGAAAUAAAAUGUGCUUUCUGUUUUCCCUCAGUCUUUAUAUAAUUAAAAUUAAACUCUGGCAGAGCUGCAGUAUAAUUCAUUUCCAUUUAGCAAACAUUUACUGAGAUCUUUUUGCUGACCUCUUAUUACUCUGGUCUCCCUAGAGACUGGACCAGAUGUGACAGCCAAGGAAGUUAAAAUUCACUGUGGAAGGGGAUUAGGUGGGGGAAGGCAUCAUUCAAGAAAGAAUUUCACGUCAGCUCUUGGGGAAGGUGUUACACUUGGUUUGUGAAAGGAAGAGUCAUCCCAGGCAAGAGCUGAUCCCCAGGAAGCCAUUGUAACUGACCAAGUUCUAACGGUAAGGUCUUGUUUCUAGGGUAAUGGAGAUGGACACAUCCUAGGCAUGAUAACACGGAAAGACUCAGGCGUCCUGUAGAGCUGAUUAAAUAUUGGGAAGGAACGUUAAGAGAACUGUCCGGGUUAGUCCCAGGGAUGGGAUGUUUAGGUGAGUUGGAGAAUCAUGGUGCCCUGUUAGUGUAAAGGGGUGGUUAGAAAGAGAAGGGCAAUGGCUGCGGGUAGGAGGGAGCCCAGACACAGAAUGAUCAAAGGAGAGCCAGGAACCUACAGUUUCAUGGAAACAUUGGAAAAAUCAAGGUUUUGAGGUGGCCGGCAGAAUAGAGAAGUCAAGAAAUAGAAGUCUGAGUAGUUUUGUGAAAGAGAAAUAUAAAAUGUUGACCUCUGAGGAAUUCAGAACAGUGGUAGAAGUCGUCACCAGAUGACCAAGACCCUGAAAAGGGAGAAGAGUUUAUGCCAUUGCUGGAACUGUAUCCCAGGUGCUCAGUCACUUCAAGUAAUAAACCCCUUUGAAGGAAAUCCACUCCUCAACUGACUAGUGUUAUGUAACAACAUGCCAGGAUAUCAUUAAUACCUGUAGAUUUAAAAUGUACUUAUUUCUCCAUUGUAGUCCAAAAACAUUAUUUUUACAAACCAUUUGGAAAUAACAUUUUGAUGUUCUUUGAUUCUACUCUCUUGAAAUUUCACUUAUCCCUCUCUGAGAUUUAUUUCUAGGUCAUUGAUUCCCAAACUAGUAUUUUCUCUAGCUUAUUUUAAUGCUACCAGAGUUUCAAUUCAAACAUUUUCCAACAGUAGCAACUGAAAUAGCUUCAGAGACAUUUUCUGUUUUUCACAUCUACCUUACUUUUUCUUGGUUGAUUAUAUCUUUUCAAAAAGUCCCAGAUUGAUGGUACCUGAGAUAGCAGCCUGUAGUUGACAACACUAGCUUUUAAGAAUUGAUUAAGAAAUAUACUUUGGCCUUGUCCUGGUUCCUGAAGACAUCUUUCAGCCCUGAUGUCAAACCUUGUGCCAAACAAGGAAAAAGUCCAUUAGAACUGGAUUCGUAAGACCUGGGUUCUGUUCUCUUCUCCUAUGUGACUUUGGGGAGGUCAAUUUCUAGAAUUUCUCAGCUGUGAAGUGAAAGGAGUAUAUUAAAGGGUCAUUAGGUCGCUUUCAAAUAAUAAUUUUUAAAAUGUCCAGAAUCCAUGUCUGUACUGUUAUUCUUUCAUUUAUUAAUCAAAUCUACCACGUGGUCCAGUUCCACAUGAAAAGAUAUGACCAGGCUGUUCCUCAGGCCCUGUCUCUGCCUGCUCCCUGGAGGUGCUCCGUCCACUGCCUAUGAUGGGACAUCCUUGCCUCUCCCCUCACUGGCUGAUGGUCUUUCUAACCUUACCUAUAUUUUGGCACAGCUGGUAUCCUCAGCACCUACCACUCCACUACAGAUCAGGUGCUUAGGAAAUAUUUGAGGAUAGAGUAAAUGGGUUGUAUUGUUAUUAUUGUCCACCUUGGUGGUUCUCCACACUGACUGAGCAUCAGAAUCAGUUAUGAGUUUAGCAACAGUUGGUAUUUGAGUUCCUAGAAAUGGGCCUAUGUAUCCAUAUUUUAAAAUAUACCUACAAGUCAUACUCAUAUGAAAAGCACUGGUUUACUCUCUGUGAGUUCCUUAAGGUCAUAGAAUAAUGUUUCUGUCAUUUUGGUUUCUGGCCCUAUGGUGAUUUCUGGCAGAUAUUAGAUAUAUAGAAAAUGAGAGUAAGUGACUUUUAACUUUUGAGAAAAGUAAUAAAUUAUAACUGAGAAUAAAAGUCCCUUUCUUCUGUUAGCAGAUAUAACACUGUGGUCCUUGGAAGACUAAUCCAAGCGGAUUAUAGGAAAUUAUGUUUCCCAACCAAUAAAAUACUUAAGUGCCCAAACCACCAGUUCUGAUAAAAUUCAAGACUCUUUUUUAAUCUAACAAUUAGGGCUAGAACUACUUUGCUUUUUUGUUCAAGUUUUACAAUUUUGUGGGAAGUUGCUUGUUUUCAUUAUAUCACCUUACCAUUGACCUUGUUUCAUGUUGUUUCUCAAGAAGUCACAGUGCUGGAGAGGGAUAUAUUAUAUUGUUAUCUUAUCUGC